GGCGCCACGGAGCUCCGACCCCGGCCGGGCAGCGCGCAGCUCAACGGGCGCACGAGCAGCUUCUGCGGGGGUACAACCGCUCCGCGGCCGUAUCAGUGCGGUAUCCCCCGCUCCAGAGGCGAUAGCUGCAGGCGAUGGACGCUCAGCGCGGCUCCCAUAGGACAGCGCAUGUGAAAGGCAGCACGCGAGGAGUCGCACAGCAGCUGAGGCUCGGUCAGACCUCGCAGCCCACCCGACCCCGACCCUGCCAUGGGCUGGCUGCCCCCCCAGCUCAGGCCCGUCCGCGGCCUGGGGCACCCACAGCUGCUUCGGGCAAAGGCAUGGAAAUACUGUCAAUUCACCGGAGAACAACAGAGCACAUCGCAUGCCAUGCUUCUCUUACAAGUGUGGAAAAAGGAAAGGGAUGCACUGCGCUUCGUAGACUUGAGAAGCUCAGAUUGAGCUCAGCAAGGCACGCGAAGCCCUCAGAAACCUGGGUCAGACGGCUUAGCGAGGUGUGCAGGUAAAGGAACUGUGAUUCUGCUCACGUGCCAUCCGGGAUGCGGGAAAGAGCAAUUUAUUCAAUCCCUGCAGUAGUGAAACGCCGCCACCUGCAGGGGGACAGAGACACGACAGCCAACCACACAUACUGUCAGCCAGCUCUGGUCGUACAAGGAACAUUAGAGCAGAAACAGCACAUCCAGCCAGGACUUCAGAGCCAGAUACAAACUGGAGGGCACUAUGGGGUGGACCAGGAACCUCAGAGCCAGAGGUGGGUAUCGUCCCGUGUGAAGGAAACACAGCCAGCUUCUUCAGCUUUGAGGGUUAACAGGAGAUGUCACGAAGAUCAGCUGCAGGCUACCACAACUGUCAGCCUUGGGAAUUAUUUGAGGGUUUUGCAUUGUUAAGAUAAAACAGCUGAGAUCUAACCUGUCCAGCAAUGUUAAAAGCUGAGCUGGAAGCUUCUAAGAGCUGCUGAGAAGGAGGAAGUGAGCUGCUGUACCAGGCUUUGCUGGGAAAACUAUCAAGCUUCUAGGUUCACAAACAUUUCCCUACCAGGCAGACAAGGGGUACCCAAACCAAACAUUGCCAUCACAUACUCAAUAUCCAACUCAUUAAAGCUAUUUAAACUGUUAAGAAAAAUCUCAUGUUUUUAUUGUGUAAUGUAGCAUUGAAACAUCUGAACAAAUCGGUAUCUGGGCUGUACAGGCUGCUGUUCUUUCAAUUCUUUGGGUUAUAGAGCAUCUUGUCAGUACAGAAACAACAACCUUUUGCAUUUUAAAUUCUUUCCGAGGCAUGCUGGUACAACACAAAUUUCUCUUGUCAAAUGCAGCUAACUAACUUCCAAACAUCAUGCACAAGGAACUCAUCUAGUGACAAUGUAAACUCAGCAGAAGGGCAGGUCACAGCUCUUGCUUGCUCGCGCUCUGCAGUGCUGCAGGUUUGUGUAUGAUAUUUGGAAUGUUCUGUGAGUGUGAAUAAUAUCAGUAAGAGGAGAGGAG